UUUGAUUUUGGUUGCUGCCAUUGGUUCUUCGUGGGAGGCACAUUGACUCUCUGUUUUCACUCAUAUUUCACUAAAAAUUGUAAGUUUCAUUGAUUAUUUUUCUAUUAUCAAUAACUUUAAUUCGUUUGUUGUGCAAGAUUGAGUUUUGUAUUAGUUUUCAUCCCACAUCAUGUUAAGUAUUUUCCUCAUUUUCUUAGUAGGCGAAAAGGGUGUG
rnacentral:lncRNA from 1 species